UCCCUGGUGGUUCAGUGGUUAGGGCUCCAUACUUCCAUUGCGCGGGACACGGGUUCAAUCCCUGGUCAGGGAA
rnacentral:tRNA from 1 species